GUUUUAAGUUUUGUACUUUUAUCUUGACAGCAGUUUUAUAAAAGGAAACAAUUUUGAACAAAUAAAAAGUGUUACCUGAGCAGUUCUGCAGCUUAGCCAGCUGCACAGGUGUAAUGGAGCACUUGGCACAGUUCCAUUUAGCCUCUGGCAUUCUGAGAAUAUUUGUUAUGAAGCGCAAUCAGGACACACAUUUUAAUGGAUGCAGAUGACUGAAGUCCUCUGGCUGGAGACCAUCCCUUCAUAUCUGUACAGCUUCGGUCACCAAAGGCUUCCUCAAGACUUCCCAGGGUACGAGCUGCCUCCAGGGCCCUGUUCACACUCACCCGAAG
rnacentral:lncRNA from 10 species